GGAUGCGAUCAUACCAGCACUAAAGCACCGGAUCCCAUCAGAACUCCGAAGUUAAGCGUUCUUGGGCGAGAGUAGUACUAGGAUGGGUGACCUCCUGGGAAGUCCUCGUGUUGCAUUCC
rnacentral:rRNA from 1 species